rnacentral:lncRNA from 1 species
UCCAGCUCAUGAGGCUUGUGAAGUCCAUGGACUCAGGAUUGGUGAUCCAGAUAUUUAUGAGCUAAAGCAGUAUUUCAGGAUUCUCCUUCUACAACAAUAAUCGGAUAGGGUUGGGUUAUAAAUAAUGCACAGGGUCAGCCAGAUGGAUAUUCACUCUCAUGUUGGUAGAAGACAGCACAGAUAUUUCCAGAAAUGCUCACUACAGACCACACUAAUGGAAGCCACAAUGUUUUAGGAAGCCCUAAAGAGUGUCCUGAAGAUUCCACAGGCAAACACAGGCUACUAAGUAGGAAGACCCCCAGAGACAAGCUCUACUCAUCACCCUCCAUAUGUCAGUAGCUGAUCCAGAAACGGGAGACAAGUAUUCAUUGAAUCUGACUUUUGAAAAGGCUAAUUUAGAGUGAUAAAGGUCCUUGGGCCCUUAAUUAUCAGAUCACCACCAAUGCAUGAAUGGAUCCUUCACACACCCACUGUUGAGUCUUUUGACUACAACAACGAAGCUUGGGUAGAGGUAAUUUCCAAAGGUAUAAGGACACAUCAGAAUCCCAAAUGAUUUAAUUGUGGUAGAUUAGGCCAUCUGAAAAGAAAUUGUAGACAUAACAUUCCUAGAAAAAAUUCUGCUUCUGGAAAAGAUUCAAAAGGAAGGCCCCAACAUUCUGGACUAUGUAGGAGAUGCAGCAAGGCUGACAUUGGACCAAUGACUGUAGACCAACAGGAAAAAAACAAGGCAACACUUUACCAUCAGAAAACUUCUUGGAGGCCACACACAGGCCCCAUGUCUUUUUUUCUUAACAAGGCCAGGACUGUUUAUUGGACCUCAAACACAAUUUCCUAACAUAAAGUAUUAUAGUGGAGGCAUAAUUAUUUGUUUCGAUGUCAUCUACCGAUUGUAUGGAAUUAUUCUCCUUGUUAAAAUUCUUUUUUAUUUAAAUUAGAAACAAUCUUAUUUUACAUAUGAAUCCCAGUUUUCUCUCUCCCUCCCACCCUCCCAUACUCCCCACCAACCACCUUCACCCAUCUCACCCCCCAUCCAAUCCCCAGGAAGAGUGAGGCCUUCCAUGGGGAUCAUAAAUGUCUGUCACAUCAUUUGGAGCAGGGCCUGGGUCCUCCCCUUUGUGUCUAGGCUGAGAGAGAAUCCCUCUGUGUGGAAUUGGCUUCAAAAGUCCAUCCUUGCACUAGGGAUAAAUACUGAUCCACUACCAGAGGCCCCACAGACUGCCCAGGCCUCUGAACUGACACCCACACUGAGGAGAGGCCCCAUGUCUUAUGUGUUCCGAUCAUUUUAAUUCACUGUGAAGGACCAUCCUGUCCCUGGUCCUUGCUUUCAGUGUAUCCAUGGCCCAGUGUCUCCAGGGGAGGAGGUAACCUUACUUUGAUAGGUACAAAUCCUGCUAUACUCUCUUUUUUUUUCAAAAUAGAUCCAUAUCCAUAGCUCAACCCUACCAGACAGAAUUUGUUUUGUGAACCUGAGCAUAACAAUAAUCACAUUAAGCAAAAUAAAAUCCAGUAAUCUCAAUUAAAACCUAUUGUUUAUGAAGUCUUCAACAUUUCACUUCAGG